UACGUAGGGCGCAAGCGUUGUCCGGAAUUAUUGGGCGUAAAGAGCUCGUAGGCGGCUUGUUGCGUCCGCUGUGAAAUCCCGGGGCUUAACCCCGGGCGUGCAGUGGAUACGGGCAGGCUAGAGGCAGGCAGGGGAGAACGGAAUUCCUGGUGUAGCGGUGAAAUGCGCAGAUAUCAGGAGGAACACCAGUGGCGAAGGCGGCCACCUGGGCUGUACCUGACGCUCAAACACGAAAGCUAGGGGAGCGAACGGG
rnacentral:rRNA from 1 species